rnacentral:ribozyme from 17 species
CAACAGCGAAGCGGAACGGCGAAACACACCUUGUGUGGUAUAUUACCCGUUG